UACGGGAGGCAGCAGUGGGGAAUCUUCCGCAAUGGGCGCAAGCCUGACGGAGCAACGCCGCGUGAGUGAAGGAGGUCUUCGGAUCGUAAAGCUCUGUUGUCGGGGACGAAUGUAAUGGGGGCGAACAGUCUCUGUUAAUGACGGUACCUGACGAGGAAGCCACGGCUAACUACGUGCCAGCAGCCGCGGUAAUACGUAGGUGGCAAGCGUUGUCCGGAAUUAUUGGGCGUAAAGGGAGCGCAGGCGGGAAGGCAAGCGUGUCUUAAAAGUGCGGGGCUCAACCCCGUGAGGGGACACGAACUGUCUUUCUUGAGUGCAGGAGAGGAAAGCGGAAUUCCCAGUGUAGCGGUGAAAUGCGUAGAUAUUGGGAGGAACACCAGUGGCGAAGGCGGCUUUCUGGACUGUAACUGACGCUGAGGCUCGAAAGCCAGGGGAGCGAACGGGAUUAGAUACCCCGGUAGUCCUGGCCCGUAAACCGAUGAAUGCCUAGGUUGUGGGAGGUUAUCCGACCCCUUUCCGUGCCGGAGUUAACGCAAUAAGCAUUCCGCCUGGGGAGUACGGCCGCAAGGCUGAAACUCAAAGGAAUUGACGGGGGCCCGCACAAGUCGGUGGAGUAUGUGGUUUAAUUCGACGCAACGCGAAGUAACCUUACCAGGCCUUGACAUUGAGUGAAAGGCAUAGAGAUAUGCCCCUCCCUUUCGGGGACACGAACACAGGUGGUGCAUGGCUGUCGUCAGCUCGUGUCGUGAGAUGUUGGGUCAAGUCCCGCAACGAGCGCAACCCCCUGUCCCUUGUUGCCAGCGCGUAAAGGCGGGAACUCAAGGGAGACUGCCGCGGACAACGCGGAGGAAGGCGGGGAUGACGUCAAGUCAUCAUGCCCCUUAUGGCCUGGGCUACACACGUACUACAAUGGGAAGGACAGAGGGCAGCGAAAGGGCGACCUCAGGCGAACCCCAAAAACCUUCCCCCAGUUCGGAUUGCAGGCUGCAACCCGCCUGCAUGAAGUCGGAAUCGCUAGUAAUCGCAGGUCAGCAUACUGCAGGUGAAUACGUUCCCGGGCCUUGUACACACCGCCCGUCACACCACGGAAGUCAUUCACACCCGAAGCCGGUGGGCUAACCUUACGGAUGACAGCCGUCGGUAAAGGUGGGGCGAUGACUGGGU
rnacentral:rRNA from 1 species